rnacentral:rRNA from 1 species
AGUACAGACGAGUUUGAUCAUGGCUCAGAACGAACGCUAGCGGGAUGCCUCAAACAUGCAAGUCGUACGCGAAAGUCUUCGGAUGAGUAGAGUGGCGCACGGGUGCGUAACACGUAGCUAACGUACCCCCUCGCUGGGGAUAACUUCGGGAAACCGAAGCUAAUACCGAAUAGUCUGACGAGGUCUGCGGACCUUUUCGGCAAAGCCGCAAGGCGCGAGGGGAUCGGGCUGCGGCCCAUUAGCUUGUUGGUGAGGUAAUGGCUCACCAAGGCUACGAUGGGUAACUGGUCUGAGAGGAUGAUCAGUCACACUGGAACUGAAACACGGUCCAGACUCCCACGGGAGGCAGCAGUUGGGAAUAUUGGACAAUGGGGGAAACCCUGAUCCAGCAAUCCCGCGUGAGGGAUGAAGGCCCUCGGGUCGUAAACCUCUUUCAGCAGGAAAGAAUAAAAUGACGGUACCUGCAGAAGAAGCACCGGCUAACUCCGUG